rnacentral:lncRNA from 1 species
AAUCAACCGUCUUUAAGAUCCAAGAGCAAACCGUCUUAGAAAAUUAAACGCAAAAAAUUUGAUUCAGAAAAAAUGUCAACUUCCAAUUGUAUAAACAACAAAACUUUAUCAACUGUUCGAUGGACUAAAUUAUAUUAUUUACUUCUAAACUAUCUCAAAAAAGUUUAGCCAAUAAUUUUUUAUGACAACAAAAUCCUAUAAUAUCUUUAAGAGAAAAAUAUAACUUCUUGAACGUUGUCCUUAAUCUACGGC